rnacentral:misc_RNA from 1 species
GGUUGUACAAGCAGAAAUAUCCAUGGCAAAUACACAAAUUAAAAAAAAAAAAAAAGCAUUUAUUGGAAAACAGAAUUCCUGUAGCAGUUUAUCGCCCCAACAAAGCAACACGAUCCUUCUGUAUCGCCUGUGUUAGGUUGAUGUCAAAGAGUUCGCAUCUUAUAGGCAUCUCCAUUUCAUAGAAGGGGUUCUUUAAAACAUAAUCUGUGUACAAUUCAUAUAUGACCUUUAAGAGACCCUCCAUGUUUGGUGUCCCAGGUUCACAUACCACAAAGAACUUUGUCCCAGUAAGAGACUGAAAACAAUGGAGGUCAAAUGUAUCAGCUUCAAGGAGUUCGAUGCCUGAACAACCAACAGUUGGUGAUAGCUGCUGGGAGAUGGCAUGCAUUGAAUGCCACAAACUAGCUACUCGUAAGCUAUCAUUUGUAUCCAUCCGUCCAGCGGAUCCAUAAUCCUUGUAGAAGAUCAAACCACCUGAUUUGUUGAUAAUAUAUAAGCUAUAAAUCGCUGCCAUUUCAGCCACUUUCUCGGAAUCCGAACAGCAAGAAGAAGAAGAAGUAGAA